CCAUUUUUCUAAAUUGAUUGACUAACCUGGACCAACUUGAACUAUAAUCUUUAUAAUCGAUAUAGUAGGAAUUCCACUAAUUUUUGAACCAACACUAGAUUAGGUAACAUCUCAAUCAGCUGUGUUGCUAUCAAACUGCUUCGUCUCUGUUGCAACACACUGUAUAUUAUUGCACUUAUACUCCGGCCUGUCAGGAAAACCGCUUGAAUUUUUGUUGUACAUUUGAGAAAGAAUUAUUCAUUUAAUUAAAGAUGGUUGUGAGACAAUAUCAAGAGGAAUUGAAAUAUUUGGAAAAAAUAAACGAAUGCUGUUGGAGAAUUAAAAAAGGCUUUCAACCUAAUAUGAAUGUUGAAGGAGUGUUUUAUGUGAAUAAUACAUUGGAACGAUUAAUGUUUGAUGAGCUGCGCAAUGCCUGUCGACCAGGUGCAGUUGGAGGUUUCCUUCCUGGAAUGAAACAGAUCGCAAAUGUAGCAGCUCUGCCUGGUAUUGUAUGGAGAUCUGUUGGAUUACCAGAUGUACACUCUGGAUAUGGCUUUGCUAUUGGUAAUAUGGCAGCAUUUGACCUGGAUGAUCCAAAAUCAAUUGUAUCUCCUGGUGGUGUUGGCUUUGAUAUAAACUGUGGUGUUCGUCUACUGCGAACAAAUUUAUACGAGAGAGAUAUUCUACCAGUAAAAGAACAACUUGCGCAAAGCAUGUUUGAUCACAUUCCGGUUGGUGUUGGAUCUAAAGGAAUUAUACCAAUGAAUGCACGAGAUUUAGAAGAGGCGUUAGAAAUGGGAAUGGAUUGGUCUUUGAGGGAAGGUUACAUUUGGGCUGAAGAUAAGGAACAUUGCGAAGAAUAUGGAAGAAUGCUGAAUGCUGAUCCAUCAAAAGUAUCAAUGAGAGCUAAAAAACGUGGACUUCCUCAAUUAGGUACAUUAGGAGCUGGAAAUCACUAUGCGGAGAUUCAAGUGGUUGAUGAAAUAUACGAUAAGUGGGCUGCAUGUAAAAUGGGUAUUGAAGAAAAAGGACAAAUUUGUGUUAUGAUUCACUCAGGAAGUAGAGGAUUCGGUCAUCAAGUUGCUACAGAUGCACUUGUGCAAAUGGAAAAAGCUAUGAAACGUGAUAAGAUAGAAACCAAUGAUAGGCAGCUUGCAUGUGCUCAUAUAAAAUCUCAAGAAGGCCAAGAUUAUUUAAAAGCGAUGGCAGCUGCUGCUAAUUUUGCAUGGGUUAACAGGAGUUCUAUGACAUUUCUUAGUCGACAGGCAUUUGCAAAACAAUUCAAUUCAUCUCCUGAUGAUUUAGAUAUGCAUGUUAUUUAUGACGUUUCUCACAAUAUCGCCAAAAUAGAAGAACACAUGGUUGAUGGAAAACAGAAGACACUCUUAGUUCAUAGAAAGGGAUCAACAAGAGCAUUUCCACCGCAUCAUCCUUUAAUUCCUGUGGAUUAUCAAUUGACUGGUCAACCAGUUUUAAUUGGUGGUACUAUGGGGACCUGUAGUUACGUUUUAACUGGUACAGAACAGGGUAUGAAAGAAACAUUUGGAUCAACUUGUCAUGGUGCUGGUCGCGCUCUUUCAAGAGCAAAAUCACGUAGAAACUUGGAUUAUAAACAAGUUCUCGAAAAAUUGGAAGAAUCAGGAAUAUCAAUUCGAGUUGCUUCACCGAAAUUAGUUAUGGAAGAAGCGCCGGAAUCCUACAAAAAUGUAACAGACGUUGUUAAUACUUGUCACGCAGCUGGAAUCUCCAAAAAAUGCAUUUAAACUCCGUCCGAUUGCAGUCAUUAAGGGAUAAUAUAUUUUGAUUGCUCUUUGGUUGAUAAUGUAUUGCUGAUAUGUUUGCCAAAUGAUAUUUAUAAAAGUUACGAGGGAAAAUAUCAGAUAAUCAAUCUUACAUUUGGGUUUACAUUUAGAUAUUGUAAGGAAUAUACCCGGAUCCGGCGGAUAUCGUCGAAUUACGUCGUCGUCGUUGUCCACAGCUGAUCAUUGCGUGCGCACUCGAACAGGCGCAAGACAGGAGAGAAACAGGAGUGGGGCACCGAUCGUCGACUGUGCUCCAAAAAGACCGGCGAAAAGGUGGGCACUCUCUGUCGAAAAGCGCGAUAUAACAGUUUUGUAAAAUAUACGUGCGGGAGUCUUUAGCAAAUUGUUAUACUUUAGAGAAUCUUUCGCAAUAAAGUGACCUUGCAUCUAUUCUUUAAUUUUAA